CUUCUCCUCUCACCUUCUCUCAUAAAUACUGACGCAACUCUAGCUUGUCCCGAAUACAAACAGAGUGCACUAUCCCUGUUCUCUCUCUCUGCUCGCCUCAGCUCUUUCAGUAGGGUUUUUUUUUUCUCUCUCUAGAACUCGCACAAUCCAAUCGGACCGACAUUUUCUCUCUCCUGAUUCCCUGUCCUCGGCAGGACGGAAGUGUGAGCGAGAGAUAUGGAGUCGUACGCGCUACAUUUGGCCAUGGCGGCUCUGGUUGGAGCUUCGGUGGUGGCUGUGUCGGCCUACUACAUGCACCGCAAGACCCUAACUCAGCUUUUGGAGUUCGCCAAGACGGUGGAGAAGGAGAGGGAGGGCGACUCCGACGGCGGCGACUCGCCGCAGAACAUGAAGAAGAGUAGGAGUCACGCGCGGCGCAAGGGCAACGGGUAUUACCGGCGGAACGCGGCGUCUUUACCGGACGUGACGGCGAUUUCUGGAGGGAUUGAUGGUGAUGAUCAUAGGCGCAACGGAUUUCUACCCGUCGACGGUAUUCCGGCCGGUUUGCCGAGGCUGCACACUCUCCCGGAAGGGAAAUCUACUGAGCUUGCGAACUCAGUUAAGAGAACCGGUAGUCUUAUCCGACCAACUUCUCCCAAGUCUCCAGUUGCAAGUGCAAGUGCCUUUGAGAGUGUGGAAGGAUCAGAUGAUGAAGACAACAUGACUGACAAUUCUAAACUUGGCACUGUAGGGCCCGAUGGUAAGAUAAUAUAUGAAAAUUUACCGAACCAUGUUAAUGCCAAUGGAGAACAAAUACCUAUAGCUCCUUCAAGUAUGAUUAGGUCCCAUAGUGUAUCUGGUGACCUGCAUGGUGUCCAGCCUGAUCCAAUUGCAGCUGAUAUCCUAAGGAAAGAGCCAGAACAAGAGACUUUUGCACGACUGAACAUUACUCCAACGGAAGUGCCAUCUAGCGAUGAAGCGGAGGUCUACGUGGUUCUUCAAGAAUGCCUUGAAUUGCGAACAAGAUAUUUAUUCACCGAGACAGUUGCUCCGUGGGAGAAGGAAAUUAUAUCAGACCCCAGUACCCCAAAACCUAACCCAGCUCCAUUUUCUUAUACUUCUGAGGCGAAGUCUGAUCAUUAUUUCGAAAUGCAAGACGGGGUUGUUCGUGUGUAUCCAAAUAAAGAUUCAAAAGAAGAACUUUUUCCUGUUGCUGAUGCAACAACCUUUUUCACUGACCUACAUCACAUACUCCGAGUUACAGCAGCAGGGAAUAUCAGAACUUUAUGCCAUCAUCGGCUGAAUCUUCUGGAACAAAAAUUCAAUCUUCACUUAAUGCUUAAUGCGGAUAGGGAGUUUCUGGCUCAGAAGAGUGCUCCGCAUCGUGACUUUUAUAAUGUAAGAAAAGUAGAUACACAUGUUCAUCACUCAGCAUGCAUGAACCAGAAACAUCUUUUGAGGUUUAUAAAAUCAAAGUUGAGGAAGGAGCCUGAUGAGGUUGUAAUAUUUAGAGAUGGAACCUAUUUGACCUUGAAAGAGGUUUUUGAGAGUUUGGAUUUGACUGGGUACGACCUAAAUGUUGACCUUUUGGAUGUUCAUGCUGACAAGAGCACAUUUCAUCGUUUUGAUAAGUUUAAUCUUAAGUACAACCCCUGUGGUCAAAGUAGGCUCCGGGAGAUUUUCCUUAAGCAGGAUAAUCUUAUUCAAGGACGUUUCCUUGCUGAGCUGACAAAACAAGUGUUUUCUGAUCUUGCUGCCAGUAAAUAUCAGAUGGCUGAGUACAGGGUAUCGAUAUAUGGUAGGAAGCAGAGUGAGUGGGACCAAAUGGCUAGUUGGAUAGUGAACAAUGAAUUGUACAGUGAGAAUGUUGUUUGGUUGAUUCAGCUGCCCCGGCUGUACAAUAUAUAUAAGGAAAUGGGAAUAGUAACAUCAUUUCAGAACAUUCUUGACAAUAUCUUUAUUCCACUGUUUGAGGUUACUGUAGAUCCAGAUUCCCAUCCACAGUUGCACGUUUUCCUGAAACAGGUUGUGGGAUUAGAUUUGGUGGAUGACGAAAGCAAACCUGAAAGACGCCCCACGAAACACAUGCCAACACCAGCACAAUGGACCAAUGUAUUCAAUCCCGCAUUUUCAUACUACGUGUACUAUUGUUAUGCUAAUCUCUACACAUUAAACAAGCUUCGUGAAUCUAAGGGCUUGACGACAAUCAAUCUCCGUCCACAUUCUGGGGAGGCUGGUGACAUUGACCACCUUGCUGCAACCUUUCUUACCGCAACUAAUAUUGCACAUGGAAUCAAUUUGAGAAAAUCUCCUGUACUUCAAUAUCUAUAUUAUUUAUCCCAGAUUGGUCUGGCUAUGUCACCUCUGAGCAACAAUUCAUUGUUUUUGGACUACCAUCGGAACCCUUUUCCUGUGUUUUUCUUACGGGGUCUUAAUGUUUCUCUUUCCACCGAUGAUCCUCUCCAAAUCCACUUAACAAAAGAACCUUUGGUGGAAGAAUAUAGUAUAGCUGCUUCUGUAUGGAAAUUGAGCUCAUGUGAUCUAUGUGAAAUUGCCCGUAAUUCAGUCUACCAAUCAGGUUUUUCACAUGCACUGAAGUCGCACUGGAUAGGCAGAGAGUACUACAAGAGAGGACCAGAUGGAAAUGAUAUCCACAGAACAAAUGUGCCUCAUAUCCGGGUGGAAUUUCGUGACACGAUUUGGAGAGACGAGAUGCAACAGGUCUAUCUCGGCAAGGCCAUUAUCCCAAAAGAAGUCGACAGGUGAAUCCCAAAGGCAUGUGCAACUUUAACCCCUUCUUGAAGAGUAAUCUGAUACCGGAGGUGAGGAAGUUGCAUCUAUGCCCCGUACCUCUGUGAAAGUAUGAUAAUCAUGGAAACUGAGAUGACAGGCACCGGAGAAGAAGCGCAAACACAAGGCAAACUGGGUCGAGAAUUGAGGUGGACAUGUAUAUGCUCAAUCAAAAAGUACAAACAGCGAGAAAACGCGACUAUAAUAGCCUUAGUUAAAUAAGAAGUGGUUUUUGUACCCAAGUAAUUAGGGGUAGUUUAAUAAUUAGCUUCCAUGUUACCUAGAUACUCUACUGUCGCAGUUAGUUUUAUGUAAAACCAUGUAAGAUGUCGCCGUACAAAGGCUUAUCUAUGGCAAGAAGGAAAAUCUCGCUUUGUUUCGAGUUA